rnacentral:rRNA from 1 species
AACGAACGCUGGCGGCAUGCCUAAUACAUGCAAGUCGAACGAUCUCUUCGGAGGUAGUGGCGCACGGGUGCGUAACGCGUGGGAAUCUGCCCUUGGGUUCGGAAUAACGUCGGGAAACUGACGCUAAUACCGGAUGAUGACGUAAGUCCAAAGAUUUACCGCCCAGGGAUGAGCCCGCGUAGGAUUAGCUAGUUGGUGGGGUAAAGGCCUACCAAGGCGACGAUCCUUAGCUGGUCUGAGAGGAUGAUCAGCCACACUGGGACUGAGACACGGCCCAGACUCCUACGGGAGGCAGCAGUAGGGAAUAUUGGACGAUGGGGGCAACCCUGAUCCAGCAAUGCCGCGUGAGUGAUGAAGGCCUUAGGGUUGUAAAGCUCUUUUACCCGGGAUGAUAAUGACAGUACCGGGAGAAUAAGCCCCGGCUAACUCCGUGCCAGCAGCCGCAGUAA